rnacentral:rRNA from 1 species
CAGCCGCCGCGGUAAUACAGAGGGUGCGAGCGUUAAUCGGAUUUACUGGGCGUAAAGCGUGCGUAGGCGGCUUUUUAAGUCGGAUGUGAAAUCCCUGAGCUUAACUUAGGAAUUGCAUUCGAUACUGGGAAGCUAGAGUAUGGGAGAGGAUGGUAGAAUUCCAGGUGUAGCGGUGAAAUGCGUAGAGAUCUGGAGGAAUACCGAUGGCGAAGGCAGCCAUCUGGCCUAAUACUGACGCUGAGGUACGAAAGCAUGGGGAGCAAACAGGAUUAGAUACCCCCGUAGUCCCUGUCUUUAUACA